rnacentral:rRNA from 1 species
AGAGUUUGAUCAUGGCUCAGAACGAACGCCAGCGGCGUGGAUUAGGCAUGCAAGUCGAACGUGAUCCGUAGCAAUACGGUGAAAGUGGCGGAAGGGUGAGUAAUGCAUAGAUAACCUACCUCCAAGUCUGGGAUAACUCCGGGAAACUGGAGCUAAUACCGGAUGGGGUCCCGGGGUCGCAUGGUUCUGGGACUAAAGGC